AGAGUUUGAUCCUGGCUCAGGAUGAACGCUGGCGGCGUGCCUUAGACAUGCAAGUCGAACGAAGCACUUCUCUCUGAUCGCUUCGGUGUGAAGAGAUUUGUGACUUAGUGGCGAACGGGUGAGUAACACGUGAGUGACCUGCCCCGAAGUGCGGCAUAACAGGGGGAAACCCUUGCUAAUUCCGCAUGUGCUCCCACCUUCUGAGGUGUGAGUAAAGAUUUAUCGCUUCGGGAUGGGCUCGCGGUCCAUCAGCUAGUUGGUAGGGUAAUGGCCUACCAAGGCUACGACGGAUAGCCGGCCUGAGAGGGUGUACGGCCACAGGGGCACUGAGAUACGGGCCCCACUCCUACGGGAGGCAGCAGUUAGGAAUCUUCGGCAAUGGGCGCAAGCCUGACCGAGCGACGCCGCGUGAAGGAUGAAGGCCCUCGGGUCGUAAACUUCUAAAAGAGGGACGAUAGUGACGGUACCUCUUGAAAAGCACCGGCUAACUCCGUACCAGCAGCCGCGGUAAUACGGAGGGUGCUAGCGUUAUCCGGAAUCACUGGGCGUAAAGGGCGCGUAGGCGGUCUGUUAAGUCCGAUGUUAAAGACUGGGGCUC
rnacentral:rRNA from 1 species